UACGUAGGGGGCAAGCGUUGUCCGGAAUCAUUGGGCGUAAAGAGCGCGUAGGCGGUCCGGUAAGUCCGCUGUGAAAGUCGGGGGCUCAACCCUCGAAUGCCGGUGGAUACUGUCGGGCUAGAGUCCGGAAGAGGCGAGUGGAAUUCCUGGUGUAGCGGUGAAAUGCGUAGAGAUGUGGAGGAACACCGAUGGCGAAGGCAGCCUCCUGGGCCAAUACUGACGCUCAUGCACGAAAGCGUGGGGAGCAAACAGG
rnacentral:rRNA from 1 species